GCGAAGGUAGCGUAAUCACUUGUUCUUUAAUUGAGGACUAGUAUGAAUGGCUUCACGAAGACUAUACUGUCUCCUUUUUCUAAUCAAUGAAACUAAUCUUCCCGUGAAGAAGCGGGAAUAACUUUAUAAGACGAGAAGACCCUAUGGAGCUUUAAACAAUUGAAAUAUUUGCUUUUACUAACUACCUUCGAGGACUAAAUAUAUUUAAGCAUUAUUAAUUUCUAGUUUUAGGUUGGGGUGACCACGGAGUAAAACUUAACCUCCACGCUGAAAGUAACGCCUUCUUAGCAAAAAGCCACAUCUUUAUGCAUCACCAAACUGACUUACAUUGACCCAAUUAUUUGAUCAACGAACCAAGUUACCCUAGGGAUAACAGCGCAAUCUACCUCAAGAGCCCGUAUUGACAGGUAGGUUUACGACCUCGAU
rnacentral:rRNA from 1 species